UUAGAGUUUGAUCCUGGCUCAGAACGAACGCUGGCGGCAGGCUUAACACAUGCAAGUCGAACGCCCCGCAAGGGGAGUGGCAGACGGGUGAGUAACGCGUGGGAAUCUACCGUACCCUACGGAAUAACGCAUGGAGACGUGUGCUAAUACCGUAUACGCCCUUCAGGGGAAAGACUUACCGGGGUAUGAUGAGCCCGCGUUGGAUUAGCUAGUUGGUGGGGUAAAGGCCUACCAAGGCGACGAUCCAUAGCUGGUCUGAGAGGAUGAUCAGCCACAUUGGGACUGAGACACGGCCCAAACUCCUACGGGAGGCAGCAGUGGGGAAUAUUGGACAAUGGGCGCAAGCCUGAUCCAGCCAUGCCGCGUGAGUGAUGAAGGUCUUAGGAUUGUAAAGCUCUUUCACCGAUGAAGAUAAUGACGGUAGUCGGAGAAGAAGCCCCGGCUAACUUCGUGCCAGCAGCCGCGGUAAUACGAAGGGGGCUAGCGUUGUUCGGAAUUACUGGGCGUAAAGCGCACGUAGGCGGAUAUUUAAGUCAGGGGUGAAAUCCCGCAGCUCAACUGCGGAACUGCCUUUGAUACUGGGUAUCUCGAGUAUGGAAGAGGUGAGUGGAAUUUCCGAGUGUAGAGGUGAAAUUCGUAGAUAUUCGGGAGGAACACCAGUGGCGAAGGCGGCUCACUGGUCCAUUACUGACGCUGAGGUGCGAAAGCGUGGGGAGCAAACAGGAUUAGAUACCCUGGUAGUCCACGCCGUAAACGAUGGGAAACUAGGUGUAGCGGGUAUUGAUCCCCUGCUGUGCCGAAGCUAACGCAUUAAGUUCCCCGCCUGGGGAGUACGGUCGCAAGGCUAAAACUCAAAGGAAUUGACGGGGGCCCGCACAAGCGGUGGAGCAUGUGGUUCAAUUCGAUGCAACGCGAAAAACCUUACCUGGGUUUGACAUCCUCUGACAGUCCCUGAAGGCGGAUCUUCCUGAUUUAUCAGGACAGAGUGACAGGUGCUGCAUGGCUGUCGUCAGCUCGUGUCGUGAGAUGUUGGGUUAAGUCCCGCAACGAGCGCAACCCUUGUCUUUAGUUGCCAAUAUUAAGUUAGGCACUCUAAAGAUACUGCCUCGGUUAACGGGGGGGAAGGUGGGGAUGACGUCAAGUCCUCAUGGCCUUUAUACCCAGGGCUACACACGUGCUACAAUGGGUUGUACAAAGGGUAGCAACCUUGUGAGAGGAAGCUAAUCCCUAAAAGCAGUCCUUAGUUCGGAUUGGAGUCUGCAACUCGACUCCAUGAAGUUGGAAUCGCUAGUAAUCGUGGAUCAGCAUGCCACGGUGAAUACGUUCCCGGGCCUUGUACACACCGCCCGUCACACACGAAAGUUGGCUGUACCAGAAGUUGCUAGGCUAACCCCCGAUUUAUCGGGGGAGGCAGGUACCUAAGGUAUGGCUGAUGAUUGGGGUGAAGUCGUAACA
rnacentral:rRNA from 1 species